AUUGAACGCUGGCGGCAGGCUUAACACAUGCAAGUCGAGCGAGCGGCGGACGGGUGAGUAAUGUAUGGGAAACUGCCUGAUGGAGGGGGAUAACUACUGGAAACGGUAGCUAAUACCGCAUACCAUCAGAUGAACCCAGAUGGGAUUAGCUAGUAGGUGGGGUAAUGGCUCACCUGGGCGACGAUCCCUAGCUGGUCUGCGAGGAUGACCAGCCACACGUGAACGGAGACACGGUCCAGACUCCUACGGGAGGCGGCAGGGGGGAAUAUUGCACAAUGGGCGCAAGCGUUAUGCAGCCAUGUCGCGUGGUUGAAGAAGGCCUUCGGGUUGUAAAGCACUUUCAGCGAGGAGGCGUUACCGGCAGAGGAAGCACCGGCUAACUCCGUGCCAGCAGCCGCGGUAAUUC
rnacentral:rRNA from 1 species